CUUCCAUUUUUCAUUAGCCUUAUUUCAUAACCUUAUUUUUACAACAAAGGUGUAGAAAUAAUAUUUUUAAUGACCUUUGGCAUGUAAUAACAGUCUUUUAAUUUUAAAAUUUUGUUCAAAGACAAAUCAAGCAUAAAGAUUUCCACAGCCUCAGUGCUAAUGGAAUCUCCACUUGCACCAUAGAGCUCGAGGUCACCUCUUUUC
rnacentral:lncRNA from 1 species